rnacentral:tRNA from 1 species
GCGCCCGUAGCUCAGCUGGAUAGAGCAACAGGCUACGAACUUGUAGGUCGGGAGUUCGACUCUCUCCGGGCGCGCCA